rnacentral:rRNA from 1 species
UACGAGAGGCCCAAACGUUGUUCGGAAUUACUGGGCGUAAAGCGCGUGUAGGCGGCCCUGUAAGUCGGGUGUGAAAUCCCACGGCUCAACCGUGGAAGUGCAUUCGAAACUACAGGGCUAGAGUUCUGGAGAGGAAGGUGGAAUGCUUGGUGUAGAGGUGAAAUUCGUAGAUAUCAAGCGGAACACCGGUGGCGAAGGCGGCCUUCUGGACAGUAACUGACGCUGAGACGCGAAAGCGUGGGGAGCAAACAGG